rnacentral:rRNA from 1 species
CGAGUAGGCGGCGCAGUACGGUCUGGGUGAAAUCCCUCGGCUCAACCGAGGAAUUGCCUGGGCAAUGGCUGUGCUAGACAGCAUCAGGGGAAGGUGGAACUCCCGGUGGAGCGGUGAAAUGCGUAGAUAUCGGGAGGAACGCCGGUGGCGAAAGCGACCUUCUGGGGUGCUUGUGACGCUGAGGCGCGAAAGCUAGGGGAGCGAACG